AAUGAACGCUGGCGGCAUGCCUUACACAUGCAAGUCGAACGGAUCUAGGGGCUUGCUCCUAGGUUAGUGGCGAACGGGUGAGUAAUGCAUCGGAACGUACCCAGUCGUGGGGGAUAACGUAGCGAAAGUUACGCUAAUACCGCAUACGUCCUGAGGGAGAAAGCAGGGGAUCGCAAGACCUUGCGCGAUUGGAGCGGCCGAUGUCGGAUUAGCUAGUUGGUGGGGUAAAAGCCUACCAAGGCAACGAUCCCGUAGCUGGUCUGAGAGGAUGAUCAGCCACACUGGGACUGAGACACGGCCCAGACUCCUACGGGAGGCAGCAGUGGGAAUUUUGGACAAUGGGCGAAAGCCUGAUCCAGCCAUGCCGCGUGAGUGAAGAAGGCCUUCGGGUUGUAAAGCUCUUUCAGACGGAAAGAAAACUUACGAGGGCUAAUACCUUCGGAGGAUGACGGUACCGUAAGAAGAAGCACCGGGCUAACUACGUGCC
rnacentral:rRNA from 1 species